rnacentral:lncRNA from 1 species
AGUUAAGAUGGCGCGGGGAAGUGCCGGGAGCCGUCUCCGUCGCCGCCUCGGGGGAACCGGCCCGGGCCUCGGCCGCCUCUAGUCCUCACACAGCCGAGGCCCUCUCGGUCCCCCGCCGCGGCCCCUCGGCGGGCGGGCCCACGCGCAGCCCUCCGCCACCAACACCACCCCUGUGGCAAGAGGAAAAACAGCAAGUCCAACUCCACAGGUUUGUAAGGAGCAGCCAGCUUUGAUUUGCCCUGCACGUCAUAGCUCAGAAAGUUUUGCUGCUCAUACAAUCCUCAGCAAAGACCAUCCAUUCAUUCCGGGAUUCCCCCAGCUCAUGGACACAGGUCGGUCUCUAACUACAGACAGCCUUCUUCUGGAAACUCUCACCAGCCUGAUUUCUAAACUCCCAGUCCACCUUCACAUUGUUUGCCUGUUUUCAGUGCCUUUCCUCUGCAGAUCUCUCAGUAGGCAGCCGUAAGGAGUCAGCAAAGGCUAACACGGCUGCCCUCAGCUGGAAACCUAGUGUAGUGCCUAUUACAUUUCUCCUGGAACCACUCCUUGUGAGAAAGGCAAUUCAAACUCUAUCUUAAGUGAGCAUCUACUUCCUUUUCAUCUGAGUUAUAAAAGAAUAGUGCCCCCUUUGGCUCAAAUCUAUGCAAUGUGGAGGAAGAAAAGGCAAGAGCUAAUCCUUGCCAUGAAUUCAUCAUUGUCAUCGUCACCAUUUCACCAUUAUCAGCAACAGACUCUAGAAACAACUUGGUGAAGGCUUGAAAA